GAAGUGCCAAGUUGGAAACCAGGCCUUUAAACACAAGAGUCUCUAGAGACAUUCCAGAUCUAAACUUCAGCAUAUACUUGGCCACUUAAUAGCUCUACAGAAUGAAGAGUUCAACAUGCAUGUGUUGGGCAAUGCCCAAGGCAUAGACUGCCCUCAGUAUGGCCAUUCUCUGCAGGUUUUAUAGAGCUUAAAACCUUUCCUCCUGCUGUUCUCACAGACAAGAUUCAGAGGUGCUCAUCACUAAGUGAGGAGUAUGCUUGACAGGAAAAGAGAAAUCAAAGCUCAUAGAGCAUAGCUGCCAGUGACACAGCCAGUCAAAAACCCCUUUCUCUUGCAUUCAAAAUGUUGAGUUCUUUGUGAUCCAUGAUUUCACAACCAACAGUAUAGAAUAUUGGGACUAAUUUCCAUUCUUUAUCACUUGUUUCAUUUGCUUCUCUCCCCCACUUCCUACUUUAGAAGGUACUUUGACCUUCUUGUUCCUAUGUGACAAUCUGAAAAAUGACCCCACAAAGAUAAAAAUCCUUAUCAUACAUUUCCUGGAUUGUCUAAACUGAAUCCAGUAGAGGGGACUUGGGACUGGAAAGUGAGGGGAGGAACAGACUAACCACAGUAAAUAACAAGGUGAUAAAUAUCUGAUGUUCACUAGAUGAUUCUACUUUUAUGUAUUUUCCAACUUGCCCAUAACUAGUUAAAAUAAGAUAAAUACAUU